UAGGGAAUAUUGGUCAAUGGACGCAAGUCUGAACCAGCCAUGCCGCGUGCAGGAUGAAGGCCCUAGUGGUUGUAAACUGCUUUUGUACGGGAAAAAACCCCCCGACGUGUCGGGGGUUGAUGGUACUGUAAGAAUAAGGAUCGGCUAACUCCGUGCCAGCAGCCGCGGUAAUACGGAGGAUCCAAGCGUUAUCCGGAUUUAUUGGGUUUAAAGGGUGCGUAGGCGGGUUAGUAAGUCAGUGGUGAAAUCCUACAGCUUAACUGUAGAACUGCCAUAGAUACUGCUAGUCUUGAGUACAGUUGGCGUGGAUGGAACGUGUCAUGUAGCGGUGAAAUGCUUAGAUAUGACACAGAACACCGAUCGCGAAGGCAGUUCACGAAACUGUAACUGACGCUGAGGCACGAAAGCGUGGGGAUCAAACAGG
rnacentral:rRNA from 1 species